rnacentral:rRNA from 1 species
AAUGAACGCUGGCGGCAUGCCUAACACAUGCAAGUCGAGCGAAGCCUUCGGGCUUAGCGGCGGACGGGUGAGUAACGCGUGGGAACGUGCCCUUUGCUACGGAAUAGCCCCGGGAAACUGGGAGUAAUACCGUAUGUGCCCUUCGGGGGAAAGAUUUAUCGGCAAAGGAUCGGCCCGCGUUGGAUUAGGUAGUUGGUGGGGUAAUGGCCUACCAAGCCGACGAUCCAUAGCUGGUUUGAGAGGAUGAUCAGCCACACUGGGACUGAGACACGGCCCAGACUCCUACGGGAGGCAGCAGUGGGGAAUCUUAGACAAUGGGGGAAACCCUGAUCUAGCCAUGCCGCGUGAUCGAUGAAGGCCUUAGGGUUGUAAAGAUCUUUCAGUGGGGAAGAUAAUGACUGUACCCACAGAAGAAGCCCCGGCUAACUCCGUGCCAGCCGCCGCAGUAACAC